rnacentral:lncRNA from 1 species
GGAACUUCAUCGGAUCAAACUACGUGGGCUGCUCUGCACCACGCGGACCGAAACUAAUCCGAGUUUAUAUGCCCGGAGCUCCCGAAUGGCCGUGUUUAACGAGUUGCCAGACUUAUCGGCUUGCGAUGGCAACUCGCAACUUGAUUGUUUCGGAGCAAUCUUUAUUGCAGUAACUCCUCCAUUAAAAAGUGAUUACCGCUCGUCAUUAUCGCCGGUGGUCGCAGAUUCGAUCGCGAUUUCGCAUCAAACGCCGUUGCCCGACUGUUUGAUUUUUUAUUGAUUAAUAAAUUGGCUGAUUAACUUGUAGACUUUUUACCGGUCGAUGAAUAGAUGUAUAACGUGCUAGACGUAUAUUCACGAACGAUUUGAUAUUAGAACUCCGAAACCGCGCGGAUCUCGUAAGCUGAAUUCGGUACGAUGGCGUGAGAGCGAGAGCGAGGAAACGGCUGCGCUUGCGGAUAGGAAAGUGGAACGAAAGAGGAUUAAGCUGACGCGCGCGCUUUACUGCGCGGCUCAUUGAAAAUGGCCAGUGAAGUAAAUUGUACAGUUUAUUGGUCACCACGCAAAUAGCGAAUCCGAGUAUAAAUUCCUAAUCGCUAAUGAGUUUCGGGGUCGCGUGUUGCCUUUGCGUUAAGAAAUAAAUUCUCGAAUUCCGUAAAAAAAACAAAAUUAACAUUUUUAAUAACUUCAUAAAUGCGUAAAAAACGUAGUAAAUGUAUCAUAAUUUUAAUAAAAAGCUUAAUUUACAGUUUUAGGUAAGAAUUAAGUAAGAUCGAUAAUUCGCUAUUUUCUUAUUGCUAUUCAUUGGCCUGUAUACUCUUUUGUACAUUCCAGAGAAUGCAUUCUUAUUAUUCCUUCAAGCACGUAUUUCAAUCAUAGCGCACGCCUUUGAUUGUUCCUUUAUUGCGACUUAUUCUUUCCUUCUUUGUGCAAAACGUACACGAACAACAAAUAUUCAUAUAUUUCGCGGCAAGAAUAGACCCGGGUAUUACUUUCGUUCCCUCGUUCCUGUUUCUCGCGUGUUUCGACUUCAAACAAUGCCACCAACGAAGCACUAUUAAAGACCACAAGCACGUAGCUUAAGGAUUCACUAAAUAAUUUCGUAAAUUCCUGUUUGUCAUAAAUUAAACACCGUUAAACAUUGUUAAAAAGUAAAAUGUAUCACGAGUAGAUACAUGUUUACAUCAUAUAUAAUAUAAUUAACGAUGGAUUUUAGUUUGCAUUGCCUUAGAGUACCAAAUUUUAAUUAUUUUCAUAAACUACACUAACGCAUGUAAUGAAAUAUUUACUGUUGGAGAUUUUGUGUUCUAGACGUCAUGCAUAGAGAUGGCACUAAUAGUUGUCGUGAUUUUUAAGUUGGCAUUACCUUUCGUUAGCGCGCGCGGUUUUUAUAUAUCCGGUUGAGUUAUUGAGUUACCGUGUAUUACAUUCUCGUUUGUUAAUUCUCAGACUUACGUGUUUUAUGUGUGUACAAAUUAUCGUUUAAUUAUAUUAGUACGUGUUCGCUAUCCAGCGCUCUUUGCAUUCAAUUUCCAACAUUUACAAAUGGAUAUGAAUUUAAAAUAUUUACAAUGGAUUUUCAAUGGACCAUAAAAUAGGACCAAUUACAUCAUAAAACUGAUAAUUAUAUUACUGAUAAUUAUAUAACUCGAGGUUUGCAUUGCGAGUAUUAUUUCUCGAUUUUCAUCAUAUUAAUUCGCUGAGUGGAAAAGAAAUCUAGCAAUAUAAUCGCGCGCACGCGUUUUGUGCAACAAAAAUUGCAAUCAUACGGUGGCACCAAGUGCAUCGAGAGUUCUCGUUGUUAUGAAAACUCUCGUCAUUCGUUUUUAAUUGUGCGUUCGAGGAUCACGAUCGAGGGUGCGUGGCUCUAAAAUAUUUUUCGUACUUGUUAUCUGACUCAAUAUUUCCGCAAGAGUUUCGUACUGUGUUAAUAUACGGGGAAUUUUUUGAGCCACGCGAGCUUCCAUAUACCAGGCCCCUGACGUUAUCACACCGGUGACAACGCUAAAGGUAGACCAUGUUCAACGUCUAUUCACGCCGCAUGCGCCCUUGUUUAAUAUACAGUCGUAAUUUCAACCUUCCUGCACGUAUACAACCCUUCCUUUUCUUCCCUACCUGGUUGUUGUUACUGACUAUCCGCGCGUUAUCGUCCAGCUCCACUCCACCGUAUUGUAGCGAGUCGCCCUGAUUUCUCUUUGAAAAUAGACGACGGUCAGAUGGAGUACGGAAUAUUGUACUAACACGGAUACGAGCCAGGAUGAGGUACGAUUUCGUGCUAUUAGAGUAAAAUGCGACGAAGUUUCGCGAGGUAAAAAUCACGCGAGAAGCAUAUCUCGACGCACAAAGAGAGAAACCGCCGGUUUGACGAUUGCCAAUAUCGCUGCCAAUCAAUAUAAUGAAGUAUUCGGUAAUAAAGAUUGGGCAAUACUUUUUAGUGCUAUAUAUGAUCAUAUUUCUUCUAUAAGGAGAAGAAUAUUUCCCUCAGCUAAAAAACUAUAACUAAUUUUUAAGCUAUACGUAAUUAUACAAGGAAUGUUUUUACGAAUCAUGUAUUUGUAUCGUGAGAUAUAUAUAUCCAUCCUAACAAAUUGUGAUAAUCGUCUUAUUUCUUCCUUUUUCCUUCGAUGGACAUUGCAAUAACGUCGCCAAUUCGUCGAGAGCGAGCAGAAAGGGAGAAAAAUAGCAACCCUCUCGUUAUCCUCAUAUUUAUCUCUGUCUCUCGGAAAUAAAACAAGUACUUUUCUACUUCGAGAGCAAAGAAAUCAUCUUUUCCCAUGCCGGAAGUAUACUGGCACGGUCCAUUAUAUCACAGUCUUUAUGUGGAUAUUACAGGCAUUAUUACAGACUCUCCUGCUCUUUCCCAACAUUUGUAAUCCCUUGCUACGCAAUUUUCCCGAAAUUAUUGUACUUCAGCCUCAGGGCUACUUCAUGCGCCUUUAUUGAUCUGACGGAACCCUUUCCAUGAUCUUUAAUGUUCGUCUCUUUCUAUUUCAAGUCACGUUACGGAAAACGUCAUGUCAAAUGUCAGGAUGGUAGUCAGAGAAAUAUUCCGGAGUUUCUCGCGCAUCAGAUGUAAAUUUCCUAAGCAUUCUGCGUCGGUCCGAAUGCUGGAAAUAAUGCGCGUAAUUAAGAAAGAUGGGCAUUCAUUUUGGGCAUCCCAUUGAAUUUUAUCGAAUCCCAUUUUGAGAGAGCAAUUUUAAAUAAACAAUGUUAAAGUUUGCUAUAUAGUAUUAAGGAAAUAAAUAUGAAUAAUUAACGAAUAUAUAUGCAAUUACGUUACAAAAUUUAAUAAAACUAUGUAACAAGAUGAAAUCGACCCAUACGUCUUUUAUUUAAAAAAAAAACAAUCAAAAAACUAAAUAUAAUAAAAAUAUUUCAAAAUUAUCAUCCUUAUGCCUUCCUUUCAUGUAUUAAAAUACUUUAUACCAGCUGCAUACCGAUUUUCGUUAUAAACAGAAAUUAUUCAUUUUACUAUUACACAUAUAGAGAAUUUUGUAAAAUAACGCAAACAGAGGAAUCAGGAUCAUGAUCGUCAAGCCGAAUGAAAUAUACGCGAAUUAAACUCCCACGAUGAUACACAAUCAAGUAUCACGAUAAUCGGCGACGGGUACACGCGCCGGAAAUUUAAUGCGGGCAUGAUCGCCAACGCGGCAACGCACGAUCAUCGGUCGCGAGAUGCUGCAGAUAAAACGUGCAAGUGACACGAUAAAUAGCGCGUGUUGCGUGUCUCUUUUAUUAGACCACCAGCUCUCUCGGCGCGCAUCUCCGUUCAUCGCGCUGCAAACGUCACGUCAUGCGUUUAUCCGAUUAUAAACGCGACCUCGCGAGCGUUUACGCACUUCCGCGCAAUAAACUUUCGGUGGCAAUUGCAUUCUGCGGAGUUCGAGCGAUUGUCAGCCACGAGCGUGGUCGACGACGAAAUGGGGUCUUGCGGCCGCGCGCGCACGCAGAAUCCGCUUGUGCCGGCACGAUCGAUCGUGGAGCACAUGCACGCGCGUGAAAUCAGCGUUUCGCAUUCCACGCACAAGUCCGCGUCUUAUUUGCGUGCAGACGAGAAGCAGAAUUGCGCAACGUAUCUCCCGGAAUCAAUUGAUAUCUCUGAUCCGUCGAUGAUCUGUCGAUAUCUCUCGCCGUGAAGUUCUUGCUCGUCGAGCAAAGAUUUAUAUCUGGAUAUAAAUGUUUAUAUUUGAAAUAAAAAGAGUAGUAUUUUUAUAUAGAUAAAAGCUAAAAAAAAGACACUCCAGAGGUAGAUUUAUGAAUAAAACCUGGUAUUUUAUUUUAUUUCAUAUAUAUCGUUACUGAAUGAUUCUACCUAAAUGGAUUUCUUCUCAUUUCAUUCAUAAUUCAAGAAAAAUUAAUAUGACGUUUUUGCAGAAUAAAAAUCGCAAUCGGAUUUAAAUGAAAAUUCAGAACAGAUCCAAUUGAUAAAAUGAAAAAAUGCAGCUGGCGGGCGUUAUUAUAUGUAUAUUGAAGCGAGUGAUUAGGGGCGAGACCGGAUUACUUUUUCGCAGGCGCAACCCCGACUCGAAGUCGACCGUCGAAUAAUUUCCACGUCGUGAAUGCACAUCGACCGCAUCGUCGUCGUAUGGCUUGCGUCGCUUGGGCGGAAUAUUCAAAGAGGACAUCACGUCCCGCUCCAUCCCGAGAAGAGUCCUGGCCAAAGAACGCGCCGGAAGAGAGCGAACGCGAGGCCAGCGUGGAAAUGUGCGAGGACACUUGGCAGCAUCCGCCAAGAAAUCGCAACGGUCAAGGUCCACGAUGUCGUCACGAAAGCUGUUCGCUUCGAUUCUCUUUCCGUUCCGGAAAGCAAAGUGAGAUGCGACAUUGGCGACAUUCCGUCUGGAUAGUGCUACUGACAAUUUUAUCGAGGAUCUUAUCUUUUCGUCAUUCAACAUGCUCGGUGCAUUCACAUAGCAGUGAUAACUGACUGUCGAACUUUGGUGGAUUAAAAAGUAAUGGCCAAAAAUAGUCUCUUAAAAAUGUUUCUCAAAAAUUCGACGAAUAGUUCGAGGAAUAGUUUUCAACUUGUAAGUUAUAAUCCAAAGAAAAUUUAAACAAGAUUCUGAUUUAUUUAUUACAAUGACAAUUAAAAUUUUGAUAUGCAAUACAAAUAUAAUAUAUAGUCUUAUAUGCGCGAAUUAAUUAAUUUAAAUGUAAUUACUUUGCAUUUCUAAUACGAGGAGAUACUAUCAUUAAUGCUUGUUAAUUAAUUGUCUUUUCCUACUAAUUCACUAGGGAUUUGAACUAUUACAUUCUUAUUUAUUAUCUCGCUCGGGUAGAGAUAAGUUGUGGCAUUAUAUCCGGCGUAUCAUGAUUGUAAUAAUUCGUCCCUUAAAACCGGAAAGAAAGAGGAAUAAAAAUAGAUAGCAAAAAUUCACGUACGCGUUAUCUUUAAGCAACAUUCGCCAGUACGCAAAGCCGGUAAUUUAGCGACUUAUCAGCGGCUAUAAAGAGAGACUUCCUAUUAUCAUCUUGGUAGCUUAGUUUCGUUACGUCAAUUGCCUCUGCAUGCGUAACUUCUGAUGGUCCUUCCGACAGUUCACUGAUGCGGCACGGCGGCAUCUCGUCGGAGGAUGUAGUAAUUGUGUUAAUGUCGUCGUUACAUCGCCGCCUCGUUGAUAGCACGCGAUUUGAUUAUCGCAGUUACAAGUUAAUCGAGCAUUUGCGAGUCGCUCUAUCGAUUUUGCUUGGCUAAUAACGGCAUGUACAAAGGGCACCUUUGAACGAGCGCAUAUCCUAAGGAUAUUAACAAUGAUACCAAAGGAAAUUUCUUGAAAAGGAUGAUGAAUCUUAAUAGAAAGAAAUUCAGUGGAAAAUUGGAGAGCAGAAAUUACAAUCAAGAGCAAAUAAUAACAAGAGACAAAGAAUAAUAUCAUUCUUGAAUUUCAAAUUACAUGGCGGAUUACUGCAUUUAUUUUUUAAUAUAGUGCACAGUGUAAAAAGUAGAAUGGAAUUAAAGUACGAUUUUGAUGUCUGUCUGAAAAAAUAGUACAAACUCAAUUUAAAAAAUAUAUGUAUGAAACCGUAUAUCUUGUCCUACAUAUAUAUUAUAGAUUUUCAUAAAAAUUUAUAUUUCAAAACACAAAAUAACUGUUAUAGUGAUUUCAAAUAAAGCAGUGAUUGUUAAAAACUGG